rnacentral:rRNA from 1 species
GGUGAACGCUGGCGGCGUGCCUAAUACAUGCAAGUCGAGCGAACGGACGAGAAGCUUGCUUCUCUGAUGUUAGCGGCGGACGGGUGAGUAACACGUGGAUAACCUACCUAUAAGACUGGGAUAACUUCGGGAAACCGGAGCUAAUACCGGAUGAUAUUUUGAACCGCAUGGUCCAAAAGUGAAAGACGGUCUUGCUGUCACUUAUAGAUGGAUCCGCGCUGCAUUAGCUAGUUGGUAAGGUAACGGCUUACCAAGGCAACGAUGCAUAGCCGACCUGAGAGGGUGAUCGGCCACACUGGAACUGAGACACGGUCCAGACUCCUACGGGAGGCAGCAGUAGGGAAUCUUCCGCAAUGGGCGAAAGCCUGACGGAGCAACGCCGCGUGAGUGAUGAAGGUCUUCGGAUCGUAAAACUCUGUUAUUAGGGAAGAACAUAUGUGUAAGUAACUGUGCACAUCUUGACGGUACCUAAUCAGAAAGCCACGGCUAACUACGUG